ensembl:rRNA 5S_rRNA 5S ribosomal RNA
ACAAGGGGCCGGCAGCUCUUUGCAAUUCCCACACAGUCACCCACUGAAGCUAAGCAGGGCUGCGCCUGGUCAGUACCUGGAUGGGAGACCACACAGAAAAAACUAGGUUGCUCCCAGAU